ensembl:lncRNA
GUUCAAUCUACAUAGAUCCAGAAAUUACAUUUAUAUCUAUAAAUUGGACUGUGCCCCUUUUUCGAAAUAAGAGUCUGCUAGUCUAUAUAUUGCUCGCCAUAUUUCUACUGCAGUGUGUAGUGUCUUUCGAUGUGACCACGUUGCGGUCAAGCCAGCCUUCACUUUGAAAAAAAGCGACGCCGCGUGUUUUUCUGCGGGGCGCGUGUGUAUCAGGCGUUACGUGCACAGGUGGGUCUGUGAGACGUGGACAGAGGACAGCUACGGACCCAAAUGGAGAGCAAGACUCCGUCCAAAGGUCCUGUCGGAGCAGGUGCCUGUGGUCUGCAGCCCCUUCCUGAGGUAGCCGAGCCCGAAGACCUGAGCAAUGUGGAGGGCAGCAAGUGCCAACCCGGACACCCUGCAGGGGCAAGAGAUGCAAAGGAGGUGCACUCAUUGGACAGCUCUCCGUCUUCCUCGGAGAGCGAGGACGAGGGUCUCUGCAAGAAAGACAAGAAGAAGAAAAAGCUGAAAAAGAAAACAAAGAAGAAGAAGAAGAAGGAUUCCAGCUCAUCCUCUUCCUCCUCCUCCUCCUCCUCCUCCUCCUCCAGUAGCUCUUCAGAGAGUGACAGCGAGGAUGACAAGAAGAAGAAGAAGAAAAAGCAGAAGAAGGACGAAGGGCAGAAAGAGUGUGUCCGGGACGAUGUUAUCAUAUGUAGUCCUGGUGGCCAGAUGGAGCAGCCGGGUGCAGAAGGUGCAGAAGGUGUGAAGAUGAGCCAGGAUUGUAACUCCUCAGAUGGUGAAGAUGACAAGAAGAAGAAGAAGAAGAAGAAGAAGAAGAAGAAGAAGCAGGACAAGAAGAAGAAGAAAAAGAAGAAGGAUUCGUCUUCUUCCUCAUCUGACUGUUCCUGCUCCGACUGCGAGGACGAAAAGAAGAAGAAGAAGAAGAAGAAGAAGAAGAAGAGGAAGAAGAAGGACUCAAGCUCCUCUUCCUCAGACAGCUCUUCAUCAUCCUCUGACAGCGAGGAUGACAAGAAGAAAAAGGACAAGAAGAAGAAGAAGAAGAAAAAGAAAGACAAGAAAAAGGAUUCCAGCUGCUCGUCUUCAUCUUCAUCUUCUGACAGUGAUAAAGAUGAGAAGAAAAAGAAGAACAAGAAGAAGAAGAAGAAGAAGAAGAAGAAGAAUGACAAGGAAAAGAAGAACAAGAAACACGAUGAAGAGCAGAAUGAGCUCUGCGGUGGAGCUGCUCCUCCAGCUUCUGGUGAGUGUUUUUCUGCAGGUGGUGAGACUCCGGGACCAAGUGCUGAUGGAGAGAAAAAGAAAGACGAUUCUGCCGACAAGGUCAAGAAAGAGCCUAAAGAAAAAGAAAAAUGUGGAGCAAAGGCCUUCGCUGACGCUAUUGAGGAAGGCCACCUGAGUGACGACGAGGGAGAAGGAGAGAACCACAAGAAGAAGAAGAAGAAGAUGCUGAAGAAGAAGAAGGAGAAGGGUUCCGGCUCAUCAUCAGACAGUGAUGACGACGAAGAAGACAAGAAGAAGAAAAAGAAGAAGAAGGAGAAGGACUCCUCCAGCUCCUCCUCUUCGUCUGAUAGUUGCUCCUCAGAUAGUGAUGAGGACAAGAAGAAGAAGAAGAAGAAGAAGAAGAAGGAUUCUGGAUCCUGCUCGUCUUCUUCAUCCUCUGAUAGCGAAGAGGACAAGAAGAAGAAGAAGAAGAAGAAGAAGAAGAAGAAGAAGAAAAAGAAGAAGAAGAUGAAGGAUAAGGACUCCUCCUCUUCUUCAUGCUCGGAUAGUGAAGAGGACAAGAAGAAGAAGAAGAAGAAGAAGAAGAAGAAGAAGACGAAGAAGAAGAAGAAGGAUAAGGACUCCUCGUCUUCUUCAUGCUCUGAUAGUGAAGAGGACAAGAAGAAGAAGAAGACGAAGAAGAAGAAGGAUAAGGACUCCUCGUCUUCUUCAUGCUCUGAUAGUGAAGAGGACAAGAAGAAGAAGAAGAAGAAGAAGAAGAAGAAGAAGAAGACGAAGAAGAAGAAGGAUAAGGACUCGUCCUCUCCUUCAUGCUCUGAUACUGAAGAGGACAAGAAGAAGAAGAAGAAGAAGAAGAAGAAGUCCUCUUGCGCUGAGAGUGAUGACGACAAGAAGAAGAAGAAGAAAGAUAAGAAGAAGAAGAAGAAAAAGAAGGAUUGUUCCUCUGGAUCGUCCAGUGAUUCGAGUGAUAAUGACAAGAAGAAGAAGAAGAAGAAGAAGAAGAAGAAAAGGAAAGAUAAGAAGAAAAAGAAAGACAAGAAGAAGGACUCCGAUUCUUCUACCAGUGCUGAUGACAAAAAGAAGAAGAAAGACAAGAAGAAGAAAAAGAAGGACAAAAAGAAGGACUCAAAGUCCAGUUCAUCGUGUCCAUCUGACGGCAGUGACAAGGAGAAUAAAAAGGACAAGAAGAAGAAGAGGUCUGGUUCAUCAGGAAGUGAAACUGACAAUAAGAAAAAGAGGGAAUGCUCUGAUGGCGAGCGAGGCGGCGAAGAUCCCGGUGCCGGUCGGGCCGGACUUUCAGCUCCCGGUGGCAGCUGCUCUACGCCUGCCGCUGCUCCCGCCGUCCCCUACGUGUCCCUCCCCUCCAAACCUGUUGUGAAGAUGGAUCCUCUGCGUCCUUCAACUGUCUGCCGGCCCUCUGCCCCUGUCUCCUCUGCCCCCGCCUCUUCUGCCCCUGUCUCCUCUGCCCCCGCCUCUUCUGCCCCUGUCUCCUCUGCGCCCGCCUCUUCUGCCCCUGUCUCCUCUGCGCCCGCCUCUUCUGCCCCCGCCUCUUCUGCCCCUGUCUCCUCUGCGCCCGCCUCUUCUGCCCCUGUCUCCUCUGCGCCCGCCUCUUCUGCCCCUGUCUGCUCUGCCCCCGCCUCUUCUGUCCCUGGGUCCUAUGUCCCUGGGUCCUUUGUCGCUGGCUCCUAUGUCCCUGGGUCCUAUGUCCCCGGCUCCUCGAGUGUUGGAGAUAAGGCCCCCAAUCGUAGGCCUCCCAGCCCCAUGGAGGCCCUGAUGGGGAGCCCGAGGCGGUACGGCUCCUCCCAUCUCAGCUCAAGCGACCUAUUGAAAGGCCCCAAGCCUUAUCAAUGAUGAGAUCAAAACACGCGUUACUCGUGUUUCCUUUUAAAGCAACUGGAGGAUGUCGACCAUGAGAGGAGAUAUGAUUCCUUGAUUUCAUGCUGGAUAAAUGUGAUGACUGGUGGAAAAACGUAUUGUGACACGAUGAAAAUGUCCAAGAUGAGAAGUAUAAUCCAAACAUGGAAAGUCACGAUUGUGUUUUUAAUCAAUAAAGCGCAC